UAUCCCCCUCUUCUCUGCCCGUAUUCGCAUCUGCGAUACUCACGGAUGCUGAAUACGUGCGUGCGCGCAGGAGACGUGAUGGCUAUAGAAAAGGAAGAUAAAACUAGUUACACAUCAUCUCUGUAUGGCAGCUCUGGAUGCACAGUGAGGUGUCGGAUGGUCUUGAAGAGAAGAUAAAGAAGCAAAGCCUUAUGACAUCCCCAUGAGUUCUAGAGGAGACGUGUAUCGGUACCUGUUCCCUUCUGUCAUCGUUCAUCGUGGUCCAGUGACAGCUCCUCAGACCCUUCUGUGCUGACACUUCGGGCAUCCUCACAACUACAGGACGUGUCAAGGGAAGCUGCGAGGAACGGAACAGCAACCUCUUAUUAAUCAAGGAAGUAACACAACCAGUGACCGAUAUGGUUGUCCUUCUUCUCCUAAUCACCUGGGAUACCUGCCCAUGCUCACCCACACAACACCACCUUCUGGCAAUACGCCAACUGGACGGCCCGUCAACACACAGCAGGUCCAUGCUAUGUCUGUCAGCGCCGUACAUUUCUAUGAUAAUCCCGACUGUCAUUGCUUUCCUGUUACUAUGCCUAUUUGGACCAUGUAUUUUUCAAUGUAUCCAGCAAUACAGGUAGUUGUGGAUUUACGACCACAAUUGGGACCGACAGACCGGUCGUAACACGAUUUGGUUGUAAGUAGAGUAGGCUAUAUGUACAGUACUGUGAAAUUAUGCCGGAAGCUGGUACGCACUGUCGUAUGCUGCGGCUCGCGAUUGUGGUCGUAAUGUCGAGCGGUCGUUAUUUGCAUAGGUUGUAAGUCGACGACUACCUGUAAUUCACCAGUAUGCUUUCUGGUUAUUAAUUUGUCCGUGUUUCUGAAUAUUAUCCUAAUCCUAUGUGUCAUGUCUGAUUAAUUGUUUAAUAUGUGAUUUAUUCCUACAAUCCUUACAACUAGCUACCGCCCUCCCAAGAGCAAUAAUGCCUUUUUAACUGAACUAUCUGAACUCUUGACUCAUCUAUGUUCCAUAUCGCCAAAUGUUAUCCUUCUGGGUGAUUUUAACAUUCAUAUAGAUAAUACCAGUAAUGCAUUUACAAGUGAAUUUUUAUCAUGUUUGGAUUGCUUUGGUAUACAACAAUUUAACACACUGUCCUACUCUUGAUCUCGUUUGUUGCUCUGGUAUAAUACCGUUUAAUUGUACUGUUUCUGAUUUUUCUAUAUCAGAUCACUUUUUGGUUUGUUUUUGUGCCAAGUUGGCCAUCUUUAAGGCAAACCUGUGCUGUCCGAUUUCAUUCCGGAAUAUUAAGAACAUUGAUUUGCCUACUCUUGCUGAUGAACUUGCCAUCUUCUCCAGUGAAUCUGAUUUCUCUACUGCUGAUGAACUAGUAAAAUAUUACAAUGACGGACUGAACAUGAUCUAGGAUGAAUUCGCACCUGUGAAAACUCGAACUGUUUCAUUUGCACAUUCAGCUCCCUGCUUCACACCUGAACUGCGUGAACUUAAAACUAAAGGCCGUAGAUUAGAGCGGCUGUGCGCCAGGACUGGCCUUACUGUUCAUAAGGAAAUGUCUGUUGAACAUAUUAAAAAUUAUAAAACUGCACGGACUGAAGUUAAAAUCUGAUUACUACUCCAAUGGGAACUCUAGGUCUCUCUUUUUGGUAGUAAACAAUAUUCUGAAACCACCUGAUUAUUUGCUGUCUGAUAUGUAUUCCACUGAUCUAUGUGAUCGUUUUUGGACUUUCUUUGCAUCUAAGGUUGAAAAUGUACAUCAGCAAAUACUUAUUGGUACUUUUCACAAUGACUCCUCUCAGUUUAUAAUGCACACACCUCCCCAUUAUGUUUUCUCUAAAUUUGCAUUACCUACUGCUUCAGAGAUAAUGAGUCUGAUAGGUAAAUCUAAAUCUUCAACUUGUCAAUUAGACCCUCUACCAACUACCUUAGUGAAAGCUUGUUUACCAGCUCUUUUGCUGUUGAUUACAAAAAUUGUUCAUGCUUCACUUAGUUCUGGUCUUGUAUCUCCAUCUCUUAAAUCUGCUAUUAUUACACCCAUACUUAAGAAACCAGGAGGUGACCCAUCAAAUUUUGAAAAUGUUCGUCCAAUUUCAAAUUUACCAUUCAUCUCCAAGGUAGUGGAAAAGUGUAUUGCAAUUUAAAUUCAUGAACAUCUCUCCAAUAAUCAUUUGUUUGAACAAUUCCAAUCUGGUUUUCGUCCCCACCACAGCACUGAGACUGCUCUUGUCAGAAUAACCAAUGAUUAACUGUUGGCAGCCGACUCUGGGCUUUUAACUAUACUUGUCCUCCUUGACUUGAGCACUGCCUUUGAUACUGUCUCACAUAAGAUACUUCUUGACAGGUUAGCUUCCAUUGGUAUUACUGGCACUGCUCUGUCUUGGUUUAUGUCAUAUUUAUCUGAAAUUAAAGAUUGGUUUUCUUGAAGGUAAAUGGCAACAAAACUGAGGCUUUGCUGGUUGGCACUAAAUCUGUUAUGUCUAAACCUAACUGCUUCUCUCUCACUAUUGAUAAUACCACAGUCUGUCCUUCCUCUCAGGUAAAAAGCUUGGGUGUCAUCAUGGAUAGUACACUAUCUUUUGAAGCACAAAUUAAUAAUAUGAUGAGAUACUUCUAUCUGCGUAAUAUUAACCGUCUUCGUCACUUUCUUUCAAAAAAUAAUACUGCAGUUCUUAUUCACGCACUAGUCACCUCACGUAUAGACUACUGCAAUGCACUUCUCACAGGUAUUCCUUCCAAAUUGCUGAAUAAACUUCAGAUUGUUCAGAAUUCCGCAGCCCGUGUUCUCUCUAGAACACCUUAUACGGCUCACAUCUCUCCGGUUCUUCAGCAAUUACACUGGCUUCCAGUAAAGUAUAGAGUAGAAUUUAAAAUCUUGCUACUCACUUAUAAGGCACUUCAUAAUCUUGCACCACAAUAUCUUACUCAACUUCUUCAUGUUUACACUUCUUCACAUGCACUUAGAUCUUCAUCUUCAAUUUCUCUUGUGGCACCUUGGAUUCGACUGACUACCAUGGGUGCCAGAUCUUUUAGUUAUGCUGCCCCCCGCCUAUGGAACUCUCUUCCCCUUGAUGUUCGCAAUAGCGAGUGUUCGUUGACUUUUAAAAAGCGUCUUAAGACAAAUCUUUUUAUACAGGCCUUUUUAUGAAAUGUUUUAUUGAGAUUUAAAUGAAUUUUACAUGCAAAUGCUGUUUCUCUGUUGUGUGUUCUGUUUUAUGCAAUGACCUGUAUAUUGUCUGUAAGGUGACCUUGGGUGUUUUGAAAGGCGCCAUGAAAUAAAAUGCAUUAUUAUUAUUAUUAUUAUUAUUAUUAUUAUUAUUAUUAUUCAUUCUUAUUUAUCAUGGAUAAAAUGGAGGAAUUGUAAGAUAUCCUUGAUCACUAGUCCCAGAUUAGGUUGACCCAGAACACUCAGUUUUUGUCUUUAUCCUCUCUUCAUACGCUGAGAAAACCCAAACUGUCACCUUUUGGUAUGGCUAACCUGCGUUUUGUUGCGACUGCUAAACUAAUAACAUGACCAGAUGUGAAGUUAUCAUCAUCAACCGUUUUUUAUGUUCUCACAAUAUGUUAAUAUGUAUCUUGUUGCCAUUAGUAGUUAUAGUAAUUUUGUUGUAUGCUUCUAGAAUAACUUUUUUGUAAGCUUCUGUUCACCAUACCCUGAACUAUCUUUUGGUGGCAUGUGUUACUUUGCUCGUACACACACAGUGGUUCCUGUAUUUCUGUUUUAGGCUUAUCUUUUGCAGGCUCAGCAUAACCUUGUGGAGUUGUCUCUCCUAACUUUCUCUUCUGUUCUUACACACACAC